rnacentral:rRNA from 1 species
AGUGAACGCUGGUGGUAGGCCUAACACAUGCAAGUCGAACGGCAGCACAGUAAGAGCUUGCUCUUACGGGUGGCGAGUGGCGGACGGGUGAGGAAUACAUCGGAAUCUACUUUUUCGUGGGGGAUAACGUAGGGAAACUUACGCUAAUACCGCAUACGACCUACGGGUGAAAGCAGGGGAUCUUCGGACCUUGCGCGAUUGAAUGAGCCGAUGUCGGAUUAGCUAGUUGGCGGGGUAAAGGCCCACCAAGGCGACGAUCCGUAGCUGGUCUGAGAGGAUGAUCAGCCACACUGGAACUGAGACACGGUCCAGACUCCUACGGGAGGCAGCAGUGGGGAAUAUUGGACAAUGGGCGCAAGCCUGAUCCAGCCAUACCGCGUGGGUGAAGAAGGCCUUCGGGUUGAAAAGCCCUUUUGUUGGGAAAGAAAAGCAGCAGGUUAAUACCCCGCUGUUCUGACGGUACCCAAAGAAUAAGCACCGGCUAACUUCGUG